rnacentral:rRNA from 1 species
GACGAACCGUGCGAACGUUGUUCGGAAUCACUGGGCUUAAAGGGCGCGUAGGCGGGCGGUCAAGUCUGUGGUGAAAUCCUUCGGCUCAACCGGGGAAUAGCUGGAGAUACUGGCCGUCUCGAGGGGGGUAGGGGCAUGUGGAACUUCCGGUGGAGCGGUGAAAUGCGUAGAUAUCGGAAGGAACGCCGGUGGCGAAAGCGACGUGCUGGACCCUUUCUGACGCUGAGGCGCGAAAGCCAGGGGAGCAAACGGG